rnacentral:rRNA from 1 species
GAUGAACGCUAGCGGCAGGCCUAAUACAUGCAAGUCUAAAGGGCAGCAAUGUCCUUGGCGCACGGGUGCGUAACACGUAUGCAACCUGCCCACAACUGGGGGAUAACUUUCCGAAAGGGAGGAUAAUACCGCAUAAAACAGGGUCCGCAUGGGAAUAUUGUUAAAGCUUCGGCGGUUGUGGAUGGGCAUGCGGACGAUUAGCUAGUUGGCGGGGUAACGGCCCACAAGGCAACGAUCGUUAGGGGAACUGAGAGGUUGGUCCCCCACACUGGCACUGAGAUACGGGCCAGACUCCUACGGGAGGCAGCAGUAGGGAAUA